UACAUGGGGUGCAAACGUUUGCUCGGAAUUAUUGGGCGUAAAGCGCACGUAGGCGGUUUGUUAAGUCGGAUGUGAAAUCCCUCGGCUCAACUGAGGAAGUGCAUCCGAAACUGGCAGGCUUGAGUACUAAAGAGGGUCGCGGAAUUCCCGGUGUAGAGGUGAAAUUCGUAGAUAUCGGGAGGGAACACCGGUGGCGAAGGCGGCGACCUGGGUAGAUACUGACGCUGAGGUGCGAAAGCGUGGGGGAGCAAACAGG
rnacentral:rRNA from 1 species